ensembl:lincRNA
UGAGAAUGACAGGACUUCUCCCAUUGCCAGAAACCUUGGCAUUAUAUUAGUGUUUGCUGUACCCACUUUGCAAUCCAGAAGGCCAAGCUCAGGAAAACAGGCACUGCACCUGGCCACCAAGCUCCGAAGUGACACGUGACUCUACCCUCAGGGUGUGACCCACAGCCUAUAGGCUGAGGAAGAUGCAAGGACUGCAAGUGCUGCAGAGGGGCUUCCCAGGAGUGUCCGGCCCCAGGAACCUCACAGUCACCGAGGGCUAAGCGUUCAGAAAGUCGCCUCCCUCUCUGGGGCUGUGGGCGGGGUUAGGAAACACUUUCAGUUUUGUUUCCUUGUCUGCCACAAAGGAACUCACCAGGAAACCUCCGGGAGUGGAAUAUGGAGGGAGACUUCCAGGUGUGCGGAAACUGCAAGAAAAGUGUGCCCUCUGCCCACUUCAUCCUCCAUGAGGUCCACUGCCUUCGGUUUCUGGCCCCUAAGUGUGAGGAGCCCGUUCCAGGGAUGAAGGUGCAGGAGCAGAGGCACCAGCAGGUCAAGUGUGCGAUGUGUCAGCAGAGUGUGGCGAAGUCCUUCCUGGAAUUGCAUGAGACCAAGGAAUGCCAGGAGCGCCCUGUCAAGUGCAAGUUCUGUGAGCUGACCGUGCAUCUCAGCAAGCUGGAGACCCACGAGUCCCACUGUGGCAGCCAGGCCCAGCGCUGCCCGCACUGUGACCAGCUUAUCUUGCUCUGGCUGCUGGCCCAGCACAAAGACGUUUGUCAACAUGAAAAGGCUCUGUCCACGGAAGGAAAAAGAACUUUAGUUCAUGAGAGGAAAAUCUACUGUAAUUAUUGCAAGAAAAUAAUUAAAGGAAGUAUGCAUAACCACUAUACGGCCGGAUCAGGAAAUGCCCUUGGUCACCAGCGUCACAGACCUUCCACACAGCCUGUCUGAGCUGCUGCUUGUUGGCCUUGACAUCCACAGUGAGCCCGAGUGUGUUGUCCCUUGUCUUCUUCAUGGCUGACCCCAUGGUCAUGGAGACUGAUGAUGCCAUAGUGGUCCAGUUUGUCUGUCCUGGGGGUGAUUUUUCUGGGGUAUUUGGGCAGCUUCCAGAGCUGCAAUGGCUUGGGUAGCCUUGGGAGGGGCAGGAGCUUCCUUCUGCAGCAGGCGCCAUCUUAGUCCCUGGUCUUCAGGCUCUUCUAUACCUGUACUCACUACCUCAGUCAUCUCACCCAGACUCUCAGUUUCAAAAGUGCUGUAUGUACAUGGACACCGUCUACUUUAUAUCUUGGUAUGGGCAUUUUAACCCCAAAUAGCAGAAUCAUAUAUCACCACCUAGUCAGCAUCUUCGCAUGAACGCAGGGUAGACGUCUCAACUGUGACUCAUCUGAAAUUGGCCAUCUGCCUUUGCCCAUCUCGGGUCACAGCAGCAUGAUCCCUCCAGUCAUUUGGGACACAACUUCAGGUACACCCUUGGCUCCUCUCCUGUCCCCAGGAAGUGCUGUUGCUCUGCUGUGAACCACCGCUAUUACUAGCCUGCAGGCUGUGGUGGUGUUAUGGUCGAUACAUUGUGUCAACUUGAGUAGUCUAGAGGUUUGGCUAAGUGACUCAGCAGGGAGCCAGGGCGCUUACUUUAUAAACAUCCUGAGCCUGUGGAAAAGGAGGGCAUGGAGAUUAUGUGAGUGCUGCAUGCUCCCUGGGUGGGCAUAGCCUAUUUACAAUGUAAGAAAAGAAAAGAGGCUGCUUGCCGCCAUAUCCCCCCUUUGCUCUUGUUUGCUCUUUGCUAUCUUCUGCCUCCGAGCCGGCCAAGUAUGGACUAAAACCUCUACAAACUGUAAGCUAAAUAAACUUUUCCUUCCUGCAUUUUGGGUGUUGGGUAUUUUGUCCCAACAACGAGAAAAAAGUAACUAAGACAGGUGGACUCUUCACUGGUCUCCCCGCUUCUCACCCUGCCCGCUGCCCUCUGCUCCCACACCACAGCCCACAGGAUCCUUUAAAAAUACCACUCAGCUGUUUCACACUAUUCAAGAUCUGUGCUGACUCCUGCCUCACCUCACACAUGAAAAUCCCUGCAGGGGUCCUGGAGCUCUGUGACCUCUGUGCCUCCUUCCCUCUUCCCGCCUCGCUAAUCUCACCUCCCACUCCUUUCCAGCUCACUAGGUGGUUCAUGGCUUCUCUCUCUCUCUCUCUCUCUCUCUCUCUCUCUCUCU